CGGGCAGCGGGACUUUCCUGUUCGCCACCUGGGAGGAGGAGCGGCAGCCCGUGACAGCUCUACCAAGGAUCCUUGAAUAUGAAAAUCCAUUUAAUGCAAAAUAAAGAGCAACGUUCCAGCUAUGCAGUAGCGCACAUCUCAAUUUCUGAAGAUUUUCUUCAAAUCUGUAUUGUUUGUAUUUCUGCAGCUUUGUUUUAUUUAUGAAAUUCACAAAUAUAAAAUAGUUUUAUUUUA